GUAAGGGGCUUGAAUUUUAAUAGACCUGAUUAUUAUCACAAAUGAGAGAUUGAAAUAAUCAAAACUUACGGUUAUGAAUUAUGUUAAAAGUGGUCCGUCACCUACCAAACUUGAAAACUAUUUAUAUAGGAACAAUUAUUGGCUCCAGGCUCUGGUUCUAGCUCUUUCAUUGCUUUUCGGAAUAUUCCUUAUCCUUGGAGGGAUUAGUGUGCUCUUUCUUGUUAGCAAUUAUAAGAGAGCUAGUGAUGCCCUCUCUAAA